CUAUACAUGCAGUCGAGCGGACAGAUGGGAGCUUGCUCCCUGAUGUUAGCGGCGGACGGGUGAGUAACACGUGGGUAACCUGCCUGUAAGACUGGGAUAACUCCGGGAAACCGGGGCUAAUACCGGAUGCUUGAUUGAACCGCAUGGUUCAAUUAUAAAAGGUGGCUUUUAGCUACCACUUACAGAUGGACCCGCGGCGCAUUAGCUAGUUGGUGAGGUAACGGCUCACCAAGGCAACGAUGCGUAGCCGACCUGAGAGGGUGAUCGGCCACACUGGGACUGAGACACGGCCCAGACUCCUACGGGAGGCAGCAGUAGGGAAUCUUCCGCAAUGGACGAAAGUCUGACGGAGCAACGCCGCGUGAGUGAUGAAGGUUUUCGGAUCGUAAAACUCUGUUGUUAGGGAAGAACAAGUACCGUUCGAAUAGGGCGGUACCUUGACGGUACCUAACCAGAAAGCCACGGCUAACUACGUGCCAGCAGCCGCGGUAAUACGUAGGUGGCAAGCGUUGUCCGGAAUUAUUGGGCGUAAAGCGCGCGCAGGCGGUUUCUUAAGUCUGAUGUGAAAGCCCCCGGCUCAACCGGGGAGGGUCAUUGGAAACUGGGGAACUUGAGUGCAGAAGAGGAGAGUGGAAUUCCACGUGUAGCGGUGAAAUGCGUAGAGAUGUGGAGGAACACCAGUGGCGAAGGCGACUCUCUGGUCUGUAACUGACGCUGAGGCGCGAAAGCGUGGGGAGCGAACAGGAUUAGAUACCCUGGUAGUCCACGCCGUAAACGAUGAGUGCUAAGUGUUAGAGGGUUUCCGCCCUUUA
rnacentral:rRNA from 1 species